rnacentral:rRNA from 1 species
CCUACGGGCGGCAGCAGUAGGGAAUAUUGCUCAAUGGGGGAAACCCUGAAGCAGCAACGCCGCGUGGAGGAUGAAGGUCUUCGGAUCGUAAACCUCUGUCAGCAGGGAAGAACGGUCACUGUGCUAAUCAGCAGUGAAUUGACGGUACCUGCAAAGGAAGCACCGGCUAACUCCGUGCCAGCAGCCGCGGUAAUACGGAGGGUGCGAGCGUUAAUCGGAAUUACUGGGCGUAAAGCGCUCGUAGGCGGUAUGUCAAGUCAAGGGUGAAAUCCCCGCGCUCAACGUGGGAACUGCCUUUGAAACUGGCAAACUGGAGUGUGUGAGAGGAUAGUGGAAUUCCAGGUGUAGGAGUGAAAUCCGUAGAUAUCUGGAGGAACAUCAGUGGCGAAGGCGACUAUCUGGCACAUAACUGACGCUGAGGAGCGAAAGCGUGGGUAGCAAACAGGAUUAGAUACCCCUGUAGUC